rnacentral:rRNA from 1 species
AUUAUUGGGCGUAAAGAGUUCGUAGGUGGUUCGUUACGUCGGAUGUGAAAAUCUGGGGCUCAACCCCAGACCUGCAUUCGAUACGGGCGAGCUAGAGUGUGGUAGGGGAGACUGGAAUUCCUGGUGUAGCGGUGGAAUGCGCAGAUAUCAGGAGGAACACCAAUGGCGAAGGCAGGUCUCUGGGCCAUUACUGACACUGAGGAGCGAAAGCGUGGGGAGCGAACAGGAUUAGAUACCCUGGUAGUCCACGCCGUAAACGGUGGGCACUAGUUGUGGGAACCUUCCACGGUUUCUGCGACGCAGCUAACGCAUUAAGUGCCCCGCCUGGGGAGUACGAUCGCAAGAUUAAAACUCAAAGGAAUUGACGGGGCCCCGCACAAGCAGCGGAGCAUGCGGCUUAAUUCGACGCAACGCGAAGAACCUUACCAAGGCUUGACAUAUACAGGAAUAUGGCAGAAAUUCCAUAGCCGCAAGGUCUGUAUACAGGUGGUGCAUGGUUGUCGUCAGCUCGUGUC